UAGGAAUUCAAUAAAAAAUGAGGGUACUCCAUUAAGAAUUUUCAUGUUUUUGAAUGAAUAUGCGAAUAUUGAUAUGUUCUUUCCCUGCUUGAACCGCCAUUCAGCAUUUAAUUUACAGUAUUUCGUGCUCAUCCCUACAUUGUUGCUGUUGGGACUCGAUAUGUGAAUAAUAUGGCUGGGAUAGGGUGGCCUCAGAAUCAUCAUCUUUCUCAUUUUCUCUUUGAAUAAUAUGGAUUAAAAAAAAAAAUAAACAAAUUUUCAAAAAAAUCGAUCAUGGAUUAAAAAAAAAAUCACAAAUUUUCAAAAAAUUCUAUCAUGGAUUACAAAAAAAA
rnacentral:lncRNA from 1 species